rnacentral:pre_miRNA from 1 species
GACGACCUAAGCCGGACGACUUCGGUGACCUCGGGCUAAGGCGUAG